AUUGAACGCUGGCGGCAGGCCUAACACAUGCAAGUCGAGCGAGCGGCGGACGGGUGAGUAAUGUCUGGGAAACUGCCUGCUGGGCGGGGAUAACUACUGGCAACGGAAGCUAAUACCGCAUACCAUCAGAUGUGCCCAGAUGGGUUGAGCUAGUAGGUGGGGUAACGGCUCACCUAGGCGACGAUCCCUCGCUGGUCUGAGAGGAUGACCAGCCACACUGGAACUGAGACACGGUCCAGACUCCUACGGGAGGCAGCAGUGGGGAAUAUUGCACAAUGGGCGCAAGCCUGAUGCAGCAAUGCCGCGUGUGUGAAGAAGGCCUUCGGGUUGUAAAGCACUUUCAGCGGGGAGGCGUUACCCGAAGAAGAAGCACCGGCUAACUCCGUGCCAGCAGCCGCGGUAAUAC
rnacentral:rRNA from 1 species